UGAUCGGUGGCAUUCUGCCGCUGUCUAGUUAUGGGUUUGUGGUGCAGGUGACUCCAUUGGCGCUAUCAAGAGCUUUGGACUGUGUAUGGAGCGAAUUUGUCUAAUCUUUACUUUAAAAGUCAUCUGAAACGGAAACUUUUAUUUAGGGACUUUCAACAUUGGGAUUGUUCGUCCUUGCAAAAGUCUGUUGGCUUUUUGUCAACUGGUGGCCUAUAUUCGAUGGUAUCAAUACAUCUAGUUUAGAACAGAAACAAGGACCAUGGAAGCUGCACCAUGAAAGUCUCUGUGAAUUUUUGCAACUUUCGUCAGCAAUGUAAUAGAAUCUUAGGAAAAUUCCACAAUGAACUGUCUAGUCUGGUCAACAUUCUUAUUGUACUCCCAUUCUAUAACUGACUGCAAACUGUUUUAUUAUUGUGGGAAUGCUCAAUAGCCUUAUUAAUAAUAUAAACAAAAAAGCAUUCAUAUAAGAUACAUAAUCAGUAUGUACAAAAUGCAAUCCUUUUGUUAGAGACACAUUGAUGCAUAGUCUGGAAAAAAAUUAGUGGACCUAGCUCUAAGCGCUAGCCAUAAAGUGCUAGAAAGAAAAGAUUGAAAACCCUUUUCCAGCUCUGAAAAAAAGAUUAUUUUUAACAAAAAUGUAUCUGGUUUAAACUGAAAAUUUACUUAUUUUUAAAACUCAGAAAUAUAGUUACAUCAUUAUCAAUGACAAAUUUGAC